AUCAUUACCUCCUCGGUGGGCGCGCUGCAGUCCGGCAGGGGGAUGCGUUUGCUGACGAGGCCUGGGGUCACCUCCAGCCACUUCUGAGCUCGCAGGAUCUCCUCUUUCAGAGACAUCUCCAGUUUCUAUAGGCCACGAGGGGACAUGAGAGCAUUUUCACUUCAACUAGGCCAAAUGCUAAAGCUUCUGAUGCACCAGCUCCUCCUGCAAGUUGACCCACAACACGUGGUUGUGCUUCCUCUUCUCAUCCGUCAGAUGGGCCAAAACUGCUCCGGUAGCCUGCACACAGCAAGUUUACGAUUAGAUGGCAAGGAACUAGAAGACCGACUCGAGCAUCCUGAGAUGAGCAUAUGAUGAGAGUAUGAGGGAAUCUGCUGCACCUCUGAUGUUGGCUGAGCCAUUCCAUAAACAGGCAUCUUGGGCACUCGUCUGAAGUUGACCGCCUUCAUCUCCUUCACUGUGCUGAGCACGUCAGGAGCCAAACACUCAUCAGCAACCUGCGCAGACACACUCAAUGACAGAUGCAGAUGUAAUCACAAGUCUAACGCCCACGGCAUCAAUCUUCUGUGUGUGCGCCCGAUUUCCUCACCAGGACGCGAGCUCCUCUGGUGACCAGUUCGGCCGGAGCCGACAACUCUGAUAGGUCCAUGCAGGCCAGUAACCUGUACAGCCAUGUAUGGCAGCACAUCCACUGGCUGAAGUUGGACACAAAGGCAAGAGGAUACUGCAAAAUGCAACAUAUAGUUACAAAUCAAUAUAUUUUAAUGGCUUGUAAACGUUUUUACUUUUAAAUCAAUAAAGACAU